AUUGAACGCUGGCGGCAGGCCUAACACAUGCCAGUCGAGCGGAUGAAGGGAGCUUGCUCCUGGAUUCAGCGGCGGACGGGUGAGUAAUGCCUAGGAAUCUGCCUGGUAGUGGGGGAUAACGUCCGGAAACGGGCGCUAAUACCGCAUACGUCCUGAGGGAGAAAGUGGGGGAUCUUCGGACCUCACGCUAUCAGAUGAGCCUAGGUCGGAUUAGCUAGUUGGUGGGGUAAAGGCCUACCAAGGCGACGAUCCGUAACUGGUCUGAGAGGAUGAUCAGUCACACUGGAACUGUGACACGGUCCAGACUCCUACGGGAGGCAGCAGUGGGGAAUAUUGGACAAUGGGCGAAAGCCUGAUCCAGCCAUGCCGCGUGUGUGAAGAAGGUCUUCGGAUUGUAAAGCACUUUAAGUUGGGAGGAAGGGCAGUAAGUUAAUACCUUGCUGUUUUGACGUUACCAACAGAAUAAGCACCGGCUAACUUCGUG
rnacentral:rRNA from 1 species